rnacentral:rRNA from 1 species
AUUGAACGCUGGCGGCAGGCCUAACACAUGCAAGUCGAACGAGUGGCGGACGGGUGAGUAAUGUAUGGGAAACUGCCUGAUGGAGGGGGAUAACUACUGGAAACGGUAGCUAAUACCGCAUACAAUCGGAUGGGCCCAGAUGGGAGUAGCUAGUAGGUGGGGUAAAGGCUCACCUCGGCGACGAUCCCUAGCUGGUCUGAGAGGAUGACCAGCCCCCCUGUAACUGGGACACGGUCCAGACUCCUACGGGAGGCAGCAGUGGGGAAUAUUGUCCAAUGGGCGCAAGCCUGAUGCAGCCAUGCCGCGUGUAUGAAGAAGGCCUUCGGGUUGUAAAGUACUUUCAGCGGGGCGGCGUUACCCGCAGAAGAAGCACCGGCUAACUCCGUGCCAGCAGCCGCGGUAAUUC